rnacentral:rRNA from 1 species
AGUGAACGCUGGCGGUAGGCCUAACACAUGCAAGUCGAACGGCAGCACAGUAAGAGCUUGCUCUUACGGGUGGCGAGUGGCGGACGGGUGAGGAAUACAUCGGAAUCUACUUUUUCGUGGGUGAUAACGUAGGGAAACUUACGCUAAUACCGCAUACGACCUACGGGUGAAAGCAGGGGAUCUUCGGACCUUGCGCGAUUGAAUGAGCCGAUGUCGGAUUAGCUAGUUGGCGGGGUAAAGGCCCACCAAGGCGACGAUCCGUAGCUGGUCUGAGAGGAUGAUCAGCCACACUGGAACUGAGACACGGACCAGACUCCUACGGGAGGCAGCAGUGGGGAAUAUUGGACAAUGGGCGCAAGCCUGAUCCAGCAAUACCGCGUGGGUGAAGAAGGACUUCGGGUUGUAAAGCCCUUUUGUUGGGAAAGAAAAGAAGCAGGUUAAUACCCCGCUGUUAUGACGGUACCAAAAGAAUAAGCACCGGCUAACUUCGUG